rnacentral:lncRNA from 1 species
GUAACAGCCCGGCCCUUCUCGCACGGCACUGUUACCACUCACGGCCCAGGGCUAUCCCUCGCCUGGCCUCUUGCCACCUCGGGCUUUCCACUGGCGUCGUGAGCAGCUCUUAACAUCCCUUCACCCUCACGGGUUCCAGGCAGGAUUUGUCCCUCGGGGGAGCCAUUACGGCCCGCCCUAGCCCGAGUGGAUUUGGCCCAAUUCCUUCCUCUGGGAAUUAGGUCGCCUCCCCCACUGCUCGAACCCUUGACCUCCCACUUUAAGGGAAUAG